UAGAGUUGGGAGGAAAUAGAGAUUCUGUUGUCUACGUUGAUCUUUUUGUAAUGAUUAAUUACUAUUAUCAUCUGUGGUUGGAGGUCACACCUUUCCCACAUGUGACUCAGGUCACUUUCCUCGGUUAGCCACCCACCAUGGGGACCCAACAGUCAGCACCCAGAUAGGAGGUGCUGGUCAGUCACUCAUGUCCUUUACAGCCAACCAGAAGAGGCUCCCCACCCAUGCUCUAUGAGCUAUCCCACACUACAUCAUCAGGAUUGAACUGGUAUUUAGUUUUGUCACUCCCUCCGUCACUUCCCAGGAAACACAUGUCUUCCUUGUGCCUUCUCAUAAAAAAGCUGUCAAGAAAAGCUGUCCAGUAUGGUGAUGGUGAUUGAUGGCCUUCGAGAGAGAUGGCGUUCACCACCCACUUCAGAUUGCUGAAGGAAGGCUCUGGGCAGAAGUCACCAUGGGAGGAGCUGGCUGUCUCCAUCAUGUCCCUCUUCUCACGUUGCUGCACCAGAUAAGGCAACAGAGACCCAAGAAGUGAAGGGACUUGGCCAGGGUCAUACAGGCUGUGAGUGGAAGAGCUGGAAGCUGGAAGGAUUUCUCACUUUUAUCCCAGGAGGAAGCUGUGCACAUUUCAUCAGGUCCUAGAUCACAGAAGCCACCCAGUCCAACCUCUCAUUUUACAGGUGAAGAAACUGAGGCCCAGAGAAUUAAAAUGAUGUGCCCAGGGCUUCCCAGGUAGUGAGUGGAAGAGGUGAGGUUUGAACCUCAAACCUUUGACCCCAGAAUCACUGCUUCUU